rnacentral:rRNA from 1 species
CGACGCCGCGUGUGGGAUGAAUGUCUUCGGAUUGUAAACCACUUUCAGUAGGGACGAAAUUGACGGUACCUACAGAAGAAGCCCCGGCCAACUACGUGC